CAGGCAAUCAUUGCAUGCAAAGGAUAUGCGACCAAGUACUAAACAUGACUACUUUAUUGUACAUAAUGUUAAUCUGUCCAAAUGCUAUUGGUGCCCUGGAGAUG